UGGGGAAUAUUGGACAAUGGGGGGAACCCUGAUCCAGCCAUGCCGCGUGUGUGAAGAAGGCCUUAUGGUUGUAAAGCACUUUAAGCGAGGAGGAGGGUACUGGUAUUAAUACUACCAGCUACUGGACGUUACUCGCAGAAUAAGCACCGGCUAACUCUGUGCCAGCAGCCGCGGUAAUACAGAGGGUGCGAGCGUUAAUCGGAUUUACUGGGCGUAAAGCGUGCGUAGGCGGCUAAUUGAGUAUGAUGUGAAAUCCCCGAGCUUAACUUGGGAAUUGCAUUCGAUACUGGUUAGCUAGAGUGUGGGAGAGGAUGGUAGAAUUCCAGGUGUAGCGGUGAAAUGCGUAGAGAUCUGGAGGAAUACCGAUGGCGAAGGCAACCAUCUGGCCUAACACUGACGCUGAGGUACGAAAGCAUGGGGAGCAAACAGG
rnacentral:rRNA from 1 species